rnacentral:rRNA from 1 species
AACGAACGCUGGCGGCAUGCCUAACACAUGCAAGUCGAACGAGACCUUCGGGUCUAGUGGCGCACGGGUGCGUAACGCGUGGGAACCUGCCCUUAGGUUCGGAGUAACUCACCGAAAGGGGUGCUAAUACCGGAUAAUGUCUUCGGACCAAAGAUUUAUCGCCUUUGGAUGGGCCCGCGUUGGAUUAGCUAGUUGGUAGGGUAAAAGCCUACCAAGGCGACGAUCCAUAGCUGGUCUGAGAGGAUGAUCAGCCACACUGGGACUGAGACACGGCCCAGACUCCUACGGGAGGCAGCAGUGGGGAAUAUUGGACAAUGGGCGAAAGCCUGAUCCAGCAAUGCCGCGUGAGUGAUGAAGGCCUUAGGGUUGUAAAGCUCUUUUACCCGGGAUGAUAAUGACAGUACCGGGAGAAUAAGCUCCGGCUAACUCUGUG